CCUACGUGAGGCAGCAGUCGGGAAUAUUGCGCAAUGGAGGAAACUCUGACGCAGUGACGCCGCGUGCAGGAAGAAGGUUUUCGGAUUGUAAACUGCUGUCAGCAGGGAAGAAACAAAACAGUACCUGUAAAAUAGGCUCCGGCUAACUACGUGCCAGCAGCGGAGGUAAUACUAAGGGAGCAAGCGUUAUCCGGAUUUAUUGGGUGUAAGGGGUGCGUAGACGGGAAGUCAAGUUGGUUGUGAAAUCCCUCGGCUUAACUGAGGAACUGCAACCAAAACUCACUUUCUUGAGUGCUGGAGAGGAAAGUGGAAUUCCUAGUGUAGCGGUGAAAUGCGUAGAUAUUAGGAGGAACAACAGUGGCGAAGGCGACUUUCUGGACAGUAACUGACGUUGAGGCACGAAAGUGUGGGGAGCAAACAGGAUUAGAUACCCUGGUAGUC
rnacentral:rRNA from 1 species